GUUCUGUGAUGAAAAUCAUGCGCGUCAUCUGAUUUCAGAUGAGCUUUGUUCUGAGGCUUAUCUGUACUUGAUGAUUAUAUCUUCUGAGAAC